CAAAAGAACUGGAGAGGGCCUUUUUCCGUUUCGCUUGGCACUUGAAGAACCUCUGGCAGAGAGCUGGCCACCCAGCGCGCGCACGGACCCCGAGCGCGUUUCCCGAGUCUGAGUUCUGUGAAGGGGAGGGGGGUUGCGGAUUAGCCCCGAGGGAUUCUCUGGCCAUUGAGCCGCCGCUGAUGUUGCGCAGCUAGUUGUCCGGGGGUGAUAAACCGGCUCUAGCUCACUCCAGGAGCGCUUACACUACCAAUCCCUUCCGAGAACGAUUCAGAAAGGAUGCUCUUUCGUGAGAACUUGGCUCAGUCUUUCCGUGGAACCGGAGUAGGGCUUUAGGAUAAAUCGGAUUGUGUAGCCGGCUAAAGUAGACAAAGCAGAAUCACGACUUAAGGAGGAGACAGCCUCGUUUUUAUCCAGUGUUGAAAAAGGUCCUGGUUCAUCCCCCUCUAAUCCUAUUGCCAAAGCACUACACCAGCAAAGCCUUAAUUGUCAAAAAAAAAAAAAAAAAAAAGGCAAUUCAUGGUAAAGGAAAACCUCACUGGAAGACAGGAGGAUGCCAAUGAAGCAGACAGUGGAGCCUUUUUCCUAAGCUUAUUAAUUUCCCACAGGGAGGUCUCUGGAAGGGGCUGUGAGGGUUGGGGGAGGCAGAGGAUGGGACUUCAUGGAGGGGCAUUGCACUGCCUAGCCUCACCAUGGAGAAUAAGGAACUUUCUAAGAGAUAACUUAGAGGCAGACUUCCUGAGCUGGAUAAAGGUUUACAAGGAUGGGGGGAACUUUGUUUUUUUUAAGUAUACAUGGCAAUUUCCGUCUGGGUCUGUUCCUCACCCUAAGUGUUACAGUUGGUUCAUCAGGUGAUAAAUGAGUGAAUGUUUCCUAGCCUGGUCCUGGGAGAGCCAGAGACUCAAAGGAUGGAUAAUUUUGUAGG